GACGAACGCUGGCGGCGUGCCUAAUACAUGCAAGUAGAACGCUGAAGGAGGAGCUUGCUUCUCUGGAUGAGUUGCGAACGGGUGAGUAACGCGUAGGUAACCUGCCUGGUAGCGGGGGAUAACUAUUGGAAACGAUAGCUAAUACCGCGUAACAGUAGAUGUUGCAUGACAUUUGCUUAAAAGGUGCAAUUGCAUCACUACCAGAUGGACCUGCGUUGUAUUAGCUAGUUGGUGGGGUAACGGCUCACCAAGGCGACGAUACAUAGCCGACCUGAGAGGGUGAUCGGCCACACUGGGACUGAGACACGGCCCAGACUCCUACGGGAGGCAGCAGUAGGGAAUCCUCGGCAAUGGACGGAAGUCUGACCGAGCAACGCCGCGUGAGUGGAGAAGGUUUUCGGAUCGUAAAGCUCUGUUGUAAGAGAAGAACGGGUGUGAGAGUGGAAAGUUCACACUGUGACGGUAUCUUACCAGAAAGGGACGGCUAACUACGUGCCAGCAGCCGCGGUAAUACGUAGGUCCCGAGCGUUGUCCGGAUUUAUUGGGCGUAAAGCGAGCGCAGGCGGUUAGAUAAGUCUGAAGUUAAAGGCUGUGGCUUAACCAUAGUACGCUUUGGAAACUGUUUAACUUGAGUGCAAGAGGGGAGAGUGGAAUUCCAUGUGUAGCGGUGAAAUGCGUAGAUAUAUGGAGGAACACCGGUGGCGAAAGCGGCUCUCUGGCUUGUAACUGACGCUGAGGCUCGAAAGCGUGGGGAGCAAACAGG
rnacentral:rRNA from 1 species